rnacentral:rRNA from 1 species
CACGAAGUUAGCCGGGGCUUAUUCUUCCGGUACCGUCAUUGUCGUCCCGGACAAAAGAGCUUUACAACCCUAAGGCCUUCAUCACUCACGCGGCAUGGCUGGAUCAGGCUUGCGCCCAUUAUCCAAUAUUCCCCACUGCUGCCUCCCGUAGGAGUCUGGGCCGUGUCUCAGUCCCAGUGUGGCUGAUCAUCCUCUCAGACCAGCUACUGAUCGUCGCCUUGGUAGGCCGUUACCCCACCAACAAGCUAAUCAGACGCGGGCCGAUCCUUCGGCAGUAAACCUUUCCCCAAAAGGGCGUAUCCGGUAUUAGCUCAAGUUUCCCUGAGUUAUUCCGAACCGAAGGGUACGUUCCCACGUGUUACUCACCCGUCUGCCACUGACACCCGAAGAUGCCCGUUCGACUUGCAUGUGUUAAGCCUGCCGCCAGCGUUCGCUCUGAGCCAGGAUCAAACUCU